rnacentral:piRNA from 1 species
CAAUAUUUGGAUUGAAUAUUCUGAGAAAGC